rnacentral:rRNA from 1 species
CCUACGGGAGGCAGCAGUGGGGAAUCUUAGACAAUGGGGGCAACCCUGAUCUAGCCAUGCCGCGUGAGUGAAGAAGGCCCUAGGGUCGUAAAGCUCUUUCGCCUGUGAAGAUAAUGACGGUAGCAGGUAAAGAAACCCCGGCUAACUCCGUGCCAGCAGCCGCGGUAAU